rnacentral:rRNA from 1 species
GACGAACGCUGGCGGCGUGCUUAACACAUGCAAGUCGAACGGAAAGGCCCUGCUUUUGUGGGGUGCUCGAGUGGCGAACGGGUGAGUAACACGUGAGUAACCUGCCCUUGACUUUGGGAUAACUUCAGGAAAUUGGGGCUAAUACCGGAUAGGAGCUCCUGCUGCAUGGUGGGGGUUGGAAAGUUUCGGCGGUUGGGGAUGGACUCGCGGCUUAUCAGCUUGUUGGUGGGGUAGUGGCUUACCAAGGCUUUGACGGGUAGCCGGCCUGAGAGGGUGACCGGCCACAUUGGGACUGAGAUACGGCCCAGACUCCUACGGGAGGCAGCAGUGGGGAAUAUUGCACAAUGGGCGGGAGCCUGAUGCAGCAACGCCGCGUGCGGGAUGACGGCCUUCGGGUUGUAAACCGCUUUCGCCUGUGACGAAGCGUGAGUGACGGUAAUGGGUAAAGAAGCACCGGCUAACUACGUG